rnacentral:misc_RNA from 1 species
UUAAGUUCAGCGGGUCUUCCUACCUGAUCCGAGGUCAACCUUGGGUAAAUAAGGCUUUUAACGGCCGGAACCCGCAGCACGCCCUGAGCGAGAUGUAAUUACUACGCUCAAAAUUCUAGCGAGCCCGCCACUAAAUUUGGGAGGGUACCUUUUUACAGGUAUUCCUCCAACACCAAAGCCAAGCUUUGAGGGUUGAAAUG